AUAUAUGUAUGUAUAUAUAUAUAUGUAUAUAUAUAUAUAUAAAUAUCAGAUAAAAGGGAAUUUAUAAGUCCGAGGUGUAUCCUCAGUCAAUCCUUCAGCUUACAGAGUAUAUAGAAGUGGACGGUUUUUCUGAAAGGAAAGCAUUCACACAACCUGAAUUCCAAGAUUAAUUAAAUACUUGCAGAAUAUAAUAGAGUAAGUCCAAGAAUGGUAUUAUAUUUAUUUUCUUACAGUGUUUUCAACAAUAUAUGGUUCACAUACAUCAUUAAUGUAAAUAUGAAUGAUUGAAUAAUAUUACAACUUAGUGUAAGUGAUCCAUUUCAUCUCAUCAGACAAAGGUCAAAAACACGUAAUUUACCCUUGGAAAAUUGAUAUACAUUGUUGUUUGUUAAGAUCACAGAAUUUAUUUUUUGCUUGUUUCAGUCAUUAGACACCGCUUUGAAGAAUUUUUUUUUUUAAUGAAUCAACCCCAGAACUUUAUUUUUUUCGUUUAGGCCUGGUACUUAUUCUAUCAAUCUUUUACCAAACUGCUCAGUUAUGGGGACAUAAUCACAUCAACAGCAGUGGUAGGGGAAAGACACAAACACACACACAAUACAAGAGGCUUCUUUCAGUUUCUGUCUAUUAAAUCCACUUGGAAGGCUUUGAUCAGCCCAAGGGUACAAUAGAAGAUGCCAUGUAGUAGGACUGAAACUAGAACCAUAUUACUGGGAAGCACGCUUCUUACCACACAGCCACACCUACAACUGUGUAUAUAUCUAAAAAACUAAAGGAGUAAUUACUUUUCAAAAUAACAUGUUUCUAUUGGAUGCAAAUGACUGAUCAAUAAUAUGGAAAGAAUAUGUAAACAUUUAUGUGAGUCAAAUGAAAUUAACUGACAGUAUAAAUAGUCUAUACUUGCAAAAACACACAUAUAAGUAUUAUUACAAGAUAUGUAGUAUAAGAAGGUCUUUAUCAGAAAUAAGAUGUUGUAAAUGAUCAAAAUAUAAAUUUAAAUGGAAAUAAUAAUUAAAACUUAAAAUCAAAAUAAGAGCAAAUGAGUGUGAUGAAAAAAUAAAUAAAUGAAAGAAUGAAUAACUUUAAAAUAAACUUGCUAUAAGAGUGUGGAGGAAUUUUGCAACUAUUGACAAUAAUAUAAGAGAAAGAAAAGAGAUAUAUGUAGACGAUAAGAAUAAAGGGAAGAAUGAAAAAAAAUUGUAGUGUGGUAAAGCAUCUGAAAUGAGGAGAUACACAUAACCGUCACUUAGCGGUUCGGCAAAAGAGACCGAUAGAAUAAGUACUGGGCUUACAAAGAAUAAGUCCCGGGGUCGAUUUGCUCAACUAAAGGCGGUGCUCCAGCAUGGUCGCAGUCAAAUGACAGAAACAAGUAAAAGAGUAUAUAUGUGGAAAAUAUGUAACAUCAUAAGAGAGAGGUGAUUGCAACUAGAAAGGAAUAAUAGUACAGGAAAUUAGACAGCCAGCAGUCACAGGCAUAAUUUAUAUAAUAAUUAUCAUCAUUGAGUUUCAUGCUUGCAUGAGUCAGAUAGAAUUUUGUUGGGGUAAAUUUUCUAUGGCCAGAUGCUCUCCUUGUUGCCAACCUUCCUCUGCAAUAUUUCCCCAUGACCAGACAUGGAAGAUUGGAAGGAAAGUACAUUGCUUGCAUGGCAGUGAUACUUGUUUAUGAUGUGAUGUCAAUGCAAGGACACAGUAACCCACACACACACACACGUGUGUGUGUGUGUGUGAUAAUCUGUAUAAGUAUGGGUUUAUAAAAUGUGCAUGAUGAGAUAUCCUUAAAAUAAAAAUUAAUAAAAGCUGGUUUAUAUUGAAAAAAAUGUAUAUAUCUAUGAGUGUAUACAGAGUGUGCAUGCAUAUAUAUGUUAAACACACAGGCAGUAAAAAGGAGAUCAUAACAAGAUGAGGUAGUUUGAAUUUUAAACUAUACUUAGGUAUAGCUAAAAAAUAUUUAUGUGCAUGAAUGUUUACAUACAAGCAAACAUUGUAUGCGUGUGUAUCAUCCAACAUGCCUUUUUCCAUGCUGACAUGGGUCGGACAGUUUGAUACGAUCCCCUGAGCUCCAGGGCCAGAUCAAUUUCCAGUGUCAGCUUAGACAUAGUUUCUGUUGCUGGAUGCCCUUCCUAACACCAACCACUUUACAGGGUGUACCGGGUGCUCUUUUUCUAGCCACCCUCACUAGUGAGAUUGCCAAGUAACUUCUCAGAUGAGAAAAGAAUGGGAAAAAGAAAAGAAACCCUCUUGACUAAUUGGGUAAGGAAGAAUUUAAAAGAGGCCAGUGGUUUUAUGCUAGGUUUUGAAAUGCUAAAGUAUGAUAGAGGGACAAGUACAGGUGUCUUGCAAUACAAGAGAUACAUGGCUGCACUACAUUACAUAAGACGGGGAGAGGGUAUAGUUUCAUAACAGUGUGAGGGGAGAGUAAUAGAUGGAUAGAGGUGGGGCUAGUGGUCAAUGUAGUGAGGGAUAAGCAAGGGUCGAGAUGCAUUUGUUAGGAAAUUCCAAUGUGAAGAUGAAGUUGAAAGAAAUAUGUGGCUCAGGAAUCAAGGUAGAUCAGAAGGGAGAGCAAUGAGAUGCAAAGUAUUGGAACUGUGGAGAGGGAGAUGUAGAGGCUAUUAUAGAUGGUGUUGUGAUGGCAGAUAUGAGAGGUGUUUUGAUAGUGAAUAGCAGAGGAGAGUGCUUCACUGAAAAUAGUCUUGAAAGGGAUAAUGAUCCUUUCUACUGAAGGCACAAGGCCUGAAAUUUGUGAGGCAGGGACUAGUCAAUUACAUCAAUUCCAGUCAUUCACAGGUACUUAAUUUAUCAACCCCGAAGGAUGAAAGGCAAAGUCAGCCACAGCAGAAUUUGAACUCAGAAUGUGAAGACAGACAAAAAAUGCUGCUAAGCAUUUUGCCUGGCAAACUAAUGAUUCUGCAAGCUCGUUGCCUUCUAGGAAGGGAUAAUAAUGCAAAUGAGAAGUAGAAGUUCCAGGAUUUGGGAAUGUAACUGGAAGUGCAAGCCAAGUAGUGCCAAAGUUAGAGGAGUGAUGGGUGUUAGGGGAUGAAAGUAGGAAAUACAAGCAUAACCAGGGUGGUUUUAAGACAUCAUUUUUGGUGGGAAUGUAUGGGUCUUGUGCACAGUGAAUUGCCAAUCUACUCUGUUCUUUGUAAUCUUCCCAUAAGGCUCUGCUCUUGAGAUCAGCUUUCACUACUUCAUCCCAUGUCUUCCUAGGUCUCCUCUCUUCCACAAGUUCUAUCCACUUUAUGUGUGACACUUAUUUACACAACUGUCUUCAUCCAUACACAUCACAUGACCAAACCACUGCAAUAUUCCCUCUUGCACACUACAUCUGAUUCUUCUUAUGACCACUUUUUCUCUCAAUACAUUUGCACUUUGUUGCAUAGGCACGCUCAUAUUGAACAUCCAACAAAGCAUACUAGUUUCAUUUCUCUCUAGUCUUCCCAUAUCCUCUGCAUUCAGGACUCAUAUCUUACUACUCAGUAGUGCUGCUGUUCAUACACAAGCAUCAAACAAUCUGCCUUUAACUCUGAGAGAGAGACCUCUUGUUGCCAACAGAGGUAAUAGCUCUCUGAACUAUUCUUAUUCUAGUAACUAUACUUUCAGAAUAUCCUCCUCCACUGUUAAUUAUGUUACCUAGGUAAUAGAAACUAUUCACUACCUCUAGGGGGCCUGCAGGGCAUUUGAAAAAAAUUUGUUUCUCUAUUAUCUUUCAUGUUUAUGGCUUCCAUGUAUCUUCUGCAUACAAACACUACUUUCUCUAUUAACCUUCCUAUUAUUCCACUACACUUUUUAUGUGUCCAUAGCUUGCACUGGGCAUACCAUUUGAAAUUUCUUCCUACACCUUUACCACAUAGCAAGCUGAACCAUUUACUUGAAGGGAGUGAUGUCCUCUUCAUUUUUCUGCUUACUAGAACUUCAGAUUUGCUAAGUUAAUUUUAAGGCACUUUGAUUCCACACCUGGAAUUUCUUUUUUAAUCCUGUUUCUAAUACUGCUUUGAAAAGGAAAUCAUCAGCAUAUAGUUAUUUUCAAAAGCAGCUGUACUUCAAAUUCCUCUGUAGUAGCCCCUCCUGAGAAUUAGGUACUGGUGAACUCCAACCUCUAUUCUAAAUCCUUUGAUUUUACUCAUGGCUAAUUCUCAUCUUACUGAUAGCACCUCUGUAUAUUACUUGUAUAGCUUUCACAAGCCAUUUGUCUAUCCCUUGCUUCCUCAGAGACUGCCAUAUUACAGAGUGAGGAACUCUGUUGAAGGUUAUCUCCAGGUCAACAAAUGCCAAGUGCAAUGGUUUAUUUUUAGCUAAAUACUUCUGCUUUUGUCAUACUAAGAUGGCAUCAGUAAUACUUCUCAACAGAAAACCAAACUGCAUCUUAUCUAGUCUAAUUCUGUUCCUAAUUCUCAUCUGGUCUAAUUCUAUUUCUAAUUAAUUGGGUUAUAACUCUCUCCAUAGCUUUCAUGACCUACUCCAGCAAUUUGUAACCUCUUGCUCACAGCAUCUUGAUUUUUCUCUGGUACACUGCCUUACAAUCCAGAAUACUUCAUGCCACUAAGCCUCAUGCUGCAGAACAUUACCAUAUCUCCUUUCUGCAAUGUAAACUUGUCAUCUAGCUGUUUUUUCUAGCUACCUGGUAUAUUUCUCUGCUACCCCCAUUCUUUCAAUCCUGUCUCUGCAUUUAGUUCUGUCUAUCUUGCAGUUCUGCUACCAUGUCACCCUUCGUCUGACCAGGACUUUGCACCAGCUACUAGGUUUAUAGCUCUCAGUAGGUUGUCUCAUAGGAACUUCCAUUUGUUCUCUAUGCUAUACAUCUCUAGUUCUUCCUUUUCAUCAAAAGCUUCCUCUGGGACAGGUAUCACCAAACUAUGGCCCACAAGGUCAGUUCAUCCAGCUCUCUGUACCUUUUGUGUAAGUACUUGCAAUGAGAGUUCAUUUGCUUCUAGUAUGGCAUCAGCAUUUGGAACAACUGAUGUCUGUGAGCAAACAUUUUCAAUAAUGAAGUAUGUGAAGUCAGCACAUCGAACAAGGUUGGCUGAUGAACAUUUGAAAGCAAUUCUCUUGGUUGGAUGCAGCAAUUCCAAAGCAAAUAUUGAUGAUAUCUUCAAAGCUAAACACCAGUUUCACAAAUCUCACUAACCUUUUUUGCUGCUUAGUUUGUGAGAUUCAGAUAAUGUUGGUUAUCUUUAUUCUUUGUGUAUUCAUUGUAUUGUAUUGAACUAAAAGGUUAUGCAGUCUGCACUCAUUCUCUCAAUUAUCUGACCCACCAUAUAAAAAGUUUGGUGUCACCCCUGCUCUAGGAUAUCUCUAAAUUUCUGGCUGUUUGAAGGGUCUUUGAGUUUCCAUAUCUUUCUUUUCCAGACUGGUUUAUUUUACUGAAUCCUUCUAGUCUUAUGUCACUCACUUAUAUUGUUGUACAUUCCUUGCUUGGGAGAGACUUUGCAUUUACAAGCAUCUGUCUGUCCCAUAUUCAGAGGAGUCAAUCUGGUUUGUGUGCCCACCAGAUCAGGUGGUUGGCAGGUUUCCUGAAGUUAGCCUUGCUCCCUCUUCAUUUCUAAAACCAAAACUGUAACCCUCAUGCAUACCAUGAAAUCCAUUUGUGCCCAACAUGUCCAUUGAAGUCACCAGCCAUAAACAAAUUUCUGUCAUUUGUCAUUGAGGCAGUCUUCAAAAGGACUAAAAAUGGCUCUUCUGUUCAUCUGCCAACCCAUAUUAUGGAGCAUAUAUAGAGAUAAAUGUAACUUCUGAUUUAUUUAAGACUAGCUUCAUCUUACCUUAUCCUACCACUCAUUCUUACUCCCUCAGUUACUUUAUCUACUCAUUUUUCUGACAAAAAUAUACCUACACCAUCCACCCUGUUGCUACUACACAAUCAAAAGAAUUUGAACCUCUGUUCUUGCUCAUGUAGCUGAAGCUCCCCUCCAUCUUACCUCUUGCACACAGCACAUGCCUGCUUCAGCAUUUCAGUUCUCUCUCUCUGUCCUUUCUUUCAUUGUACCAGCAUUGAUGGUACUGGUCCUAAAUUUUUGUCUUGGAAGGAAGACUUGGAAAAUAGUUCUUGGACAGUUAUCAGCACCAGAAAACAGAUUUGUGUGAACCUUUGGCAGAGGACUUUAGUACAGGGCUAAAUUACUAAAUGAAUUACGAUUUUCUCAAUCCCACAAACCAUCUAAGACAAGCACCAGCAAGGAGUGAAGGAGGGGGCUAGAUUUCAGGUUUGCCAGAAGAGAGGAGACAGUACAUAGCAAGGACUAAUAUCUACAUUUGUUACCACACACACACACAUCCUGCAUACAUAAAUACGUGUACACAUACAUGUAUACAACUCACAUAGCCAUGCAUGCAUGUAAGCUUGUGGUAGCAAAAGGGAGUACACCAAAAUAUCAUAUACAUACGUAAAGAAGAAAGAGUGCAUAAUGAGUUGUCUGUGAACUCAGUUCAUGUACAUUUCAAUCAAAUGUUAUGGGGUGGGGCAGAGAAUGGGGAAAGUGGGGACAGAAAGUUCCAGGCUGCUGUUAACUCUAUGAGACCCUAUUGAAAUUAUAGUUCAUCUUUAGCGAUGUUUUUGUAAUGUAUGUGUGCAUAAUGCAAUUAAAUCAACUUGUUUUCAAAUAUUACCUACCUUAUUUUUCACAUGUGUGUCAGAAGAUUUACUCUCUUUCUCUUUAUGUGUAUAAGUCUAUUCCUUCUGUGAUCUUAACAAACAACAGUAUAUAGCAUAAUUUUCCAAGUGUAAAUUAUAUUACAUUUUUGACCUUUGUCUAAUAAGAUGAAAUGGAUCACAUGUACUCCAUUGUAAUUUACCUGGUAAUGGAUCACAUGUACUCCAUUGUAAUUUACCCAGUAAUUCAUAUUUACAUUAAUGAUGUAUCUGAAACAAUGUAUUGUUGAAACAGCCAUAAUGAAGGAAUAAAUGUAAUACCAUAACUACCAUCCUUGGACUGAGCAUGAGUGCUCAAUACUGCAUUGGUGGAUAAUGAUUCUUGUUUAUUUGUCUCCAUCCAAGAUGGAGACAAACACCAAUAUUCCUUGUGGCAGGCCUGAUAAUUGUUAUGGGAUUUCUCUCUUAACAUGAAACCAAUGGUAGCUUUAAUCCUUUAGUAUUUAAACCAACCGUAUCCAUCUCAAAUAUUCUACUUGUUUUAUGUUCAAAUGGGCCAGAUUUAGCCUCUCACUCUACAAUGUUAUUCUAAAAAUAAACAAACCCAUCAUCAUAAUCUUGAAGCCACAAGAUAAUGCAUUAUUAAUUCAAAACAAUGUGAAUAAAUAAGUCUUACAUUUGACAGAGUAAUCUGAAUGCUAAAGGGUUAACUCAGAAAUAAAGUAUUUUGAUUAAUUGACUCUACAAUGAUUUAGCACAACUGACAAGAUGAUGAAUGUACAACUGGAAAUUUUACAUCUUUCUCUAAUGUGUUUUGUAUUGUUCUUGUUGUUUUCAAAACUGUACAGAUUUCAUGGGAAAUAACUUCAUAAACAAUUGAUUUGUCAAAUUCGUUGUCUUAACAAAACACUUCCUGACUGUUUAUUGUAAAUCAGACUAAAAUACACCACCUGGUCUUCAUUCAUGUAUGUAUGUAUGUACGUACUUAAAAAAAAAAAA
rnacentral:lncRNA from 1 species